GAAUCCAACCGACCAAUGGAAGACCAAAAAGAUUAGUGUGAAAUAUGUGUGAAUUUCGCCGUAUUUUGCCAAUAUGUUAAAGAAAUUGCGGGACAAAAUUACGGAGGAAGUGCAGCAGACAUCAUUAAGAUUGCCAGUGUCUGUUCAACAGUCUGUGCAGCAGCUGACGCAGCUGUCACCAUUCAGCGGGGCAGCGACCUCACCAGGUGAACACAAGAAGGACAUCCAGACAGGAUCAUUGCAAGAUGAGCUUCUGGUGGACAUCUCAGAUAUUAGGCCAGCAGGACACAACAAGGAUCUCUUCAGCAUUGAUGAAGACAGCCAUGAGGGCUCCCCAAGCAAAUCUGGAUUUCAGUUGGUAGACCUGAGCGAUGCAGAGUCUCUUGCUCCUGCUGACCCUGGCAGGGGGCCUGGUCAAGGGCAAGGGGUAGCUGGAGUAACAUUUGACCCCACUUUAAUAGGGGCAACCAGUCCUGCGCACAGAGUCAGAAGGGACUCCUCGGGCUCCUGUGUCAGCGAUGCUAGUGGUCUUUUUCCCAUAUAUGAAGUUCCUGGUGUGUCUUUUAGCAUGCCACAGAGUGACUUGGAAUCCUCAAGUGAGUGGGAGGAUGGUAGUAACACAGCAGUUGUGGAUCGGCUUAGCAAGGACACUGUGUAUCAAGCGUACCUUAAGAUGCGUCAGCGCUAUCACAAGUACAAGGGCCGGUACUCUGACUUGGCUCGGGCGUAUAAAGAUAAAGAAAAAGAGUCCGAGAAAUUGCGUGAUGUACUCACGAAGACACAGGACAAGGCUCUGCGUAAAGUUAGUGAGCUGAAGGAGCAAUGUGCGCUGGAGCAGCAGGCAAAAGCUCACCUGGAACAGGAACUUCGUAGUGACUUGGAGGAGAAGGACCAUAAAAUUACAGCUCUCCAGACGAAGGUGAGUGGACUACAAGAACAGUGCGUACUUCAGCAGCAAGCUAAAGCCCACCUAGAAGAAGAGCUUAACACUGACCUGGAGGAAAAAGAGAUCAAGAUAGCUACACUCCUGACAAAGGUGAAGAUUCUACAGGAAGGUCUUGGAGGGGAUCUUAAUAACACCGUUGCACCUCAAAAUAAUGAACACACAGCAACUCAUCAGGACGAACAUCUUACCAAGAGUCAAGAUGAAUCUGACAAUAUCUCAUCGGGUGACACUUCAUCUGGGGCAGACAAUGUAUCAACAGCAGAAAGUGUUUCUAUGGCCGAUAACAUUUCCAUGGCAGACAAUGUGUCGGUUGCAUCUCACGGGUCGGCCUCGACCUCGGUCACUCUCAAUACCGAAGCCGAAGAACUCAUUGAGAAACUGAAGGGUGAUGUGGUCAAGCAUAAGUCAUUACUAGCACGGUGCAUGGACAACAUUCGAGGCAACAAGGAGCGCAUUGCUCUGUUAACACAGGAACGGGAUAUUGCCACUGCCCAGCUUCAAGAUAAGCUCAAACAGAUUGACAUUCUAAAGGAAGAGCACCUAAAGGAACUGGAUUCACUGCGAUCCAGCAUGGAGUCUUCGGCCUUAAGUAUGGCCGAGACAAAGAAGCAACUGUUUGAGGAACUUCAGGUGAAGGAGGCAGAAACUGAGCGCUGUAAACAAGCCACUGCAUCACUGGAGAAGCAGUUGGAUGAAGAAAGGGAUCGAUGGCAGGAAGAACUGAACAUCAAGCAGCAAGAAUUGGAGGAAAAGGAAGUUGCACUUCAGGAACUUGAGACAAACUCUGCUUUGCAAGAUGAUCAAGAGGAGGAUGCAGAAGAGUCAGUAGCAGCCAUGAAAAAAGAGGUAGAGGCUAAGAUCCAUCAGUUAGAAGCUCGUGCUCUUGAACUUAAGGAGUCGAGAACUCAACUUGAAGCUCAGUUAAUGGAAAUAAGUCAAGUGAAGUUACAGCUUGAAGUAAAAGUGCAACAACUAAUGAAGGAUAAAGAAGAAUUUAAAACAAAGACUCAAUUAUUGAAAAGUGACAAAGAAGAAAUGGAGCAAACGAUUAUAACAUUGAAGAGUGCUAAUGCCGAGCUUAACUGUCAAGUGACGCGUCUCACAAGUACCACAAGCAAUCUUGAGGAGCAGGUUGCAGAACUAACUGCCAAAAAACAGCAACUGGAAGAACAAAUAGUUGAUCUGGAGACAAAUGUCUUGGACUAUCAAAAGCAAGUGGAAGAAUUAGGUCAAGUUUCCUCUGAAUCUUUUGACAGGGCAAAGGUUGCUUCCCAAGAGAUCAUUGUUCUGAAGGAAGCUAAUGAUAAAUUGUCUCAUAGUUUGGAGGUAUAUCAGAAUGAGGAGGUUGAACUAAAAUCUGCGUUAGAGAGAAAAGACGAGGAAAAAGAAGGCAUUCUGAAAGAGAUAAAGGUCAAAGGAAAGAUGAUUUUAGAAUUAGAAGCAAAAAUUACUGAUCUAAAUGAAAAAUUAAAGUUUAGCAUUGAGGAAAAUUCUAGACUGAAUGAGGAAAUACUAUGUGCUAAUAGAGAGAAGGAGUUAAUUUGUGAAGAACUUGAAAAAAGUAGAUCAAACAUUGAGGAGGAGAGAAAUUUACGAACAGAAGAAAUUAAAUGUGUAAAGUUAGAAAACGAAAAAAUUGUAAAAGAAUUAAACCAAACAAAAUCUGAAAAAGAAACUGCCAACCAAAGACUUGCAUCUCUUCAAAAAGAACUAGAGGUAUUGAAAUCUGAAAAGGAUGAGCUUAACUCUGAACUUACAGUGUCUAAGGAAAGCAUGGUUACAGUGAAUCAACAAGCUCUUACAGAACUGAGUCUAGUGAGAGAAAAGAUGGAUAAGCUCAACAGUGAUUGGGCAAGGCAAAUGAAAGAAAAAGAUGCUAUCAAUGAAGAGCUCAGUAGGAAAGUGUCUGACCUUGAUCAAAGUUUGAAGUUGAAAACUGAUGACUACAAACAGAAAACUGAUGAAUAUAAACAGAAAAUAGAAAGCCUAAACUUCCAGUUACAACAGAAGGAAGACAAGGAAAAUGAAUUUAAGACAAGAGUAGUAAACUUGUUAGAAGAGAACGGUAAACUGUGUAAAAAUAUUACUGAUAUGAAGGCAGACUUGCAGGUUAAGGAAUCCGAAGCUAAGAAUAUUGAGAAUCUGCAGAAAGAAAAUAAUGAACUGAGUGUUCGUGUGGCUGAUCUAGAGACCGAUGUCAACAGCCGUGAAGUGGAACUGACAGCAGCGGUAGAAGAGAAGCAGCAGCUCCUUGCACUGCUGGAAAAAAUUAAGCAGGAAAAGACCAAAUUGGAAGAUGAAUUGAAAGCUGCAAAGAUUGAAGUAAUUAAGUAUAAGGAAGAGAUGUCUGCAGCACAAACAGACCUCAAGAACAAGGAGGAACAUAACAUAAAGCUGAAGGAAGAAGUGGCUUCUUGUGCUGAAGAAAACAGGAAGACAAAGGAGAACAUGGAGAGAGAAUCACAAUCUUUUAAAACUGAAAUAAAUAACACUAAAGAAAGUUACAGACAACUUAAAGAAAAUUAUGAAACGUUUAGUAAGGAAAAAGAAACGUUGAUGACUGAACAGAACCAAAAAAUUACAGAACUUGAAAGUAAGAACCUGGAACAUGGACAACAAUUGUCUGAACUAAAAUGCAGAGUGAAAGAGAGAGAAGAAAAAAUAGAAAAGUUGCUUAUUGAAAAAAAAUCCAUGCUUACUGAACUUGGAAAGCGAGUUGAUGAGCUGCAAAUUGAACUUAAUGAAAAAGAAAGCCUUUUAAACAAAAGAACUGCAGAGUUUGAGUUAAAGGUAGAGGAGUUAGAAGUACAGAUGCAUGAUAGUGAAGAAUCAUUGAAAAAUGAGUUAGAGAACAGUUUUCAACAAAAGCAUGAACUGGAAAAGAAAGUGGCUGAGCUGUCGCAUGCAAUAUUGAAGAAAGAUGAAAUGAUGGUGAGACAGGCAGAAGAUGCUGAACAGAAACUUAAAGAUGCCCACGAAGACUUUGCCCAAAAGACAGAAGAACUGGAGACAACUUGGGAGGAGAGACUGAGGUGUGAACUUGACAGACUCCAAAAACAGCAUGAUGAGAAUUUGGCGAGUGCCUCCAUGGACGCGAACAAGUCCCAGCACUCUCAGUUGGAGGCAGCCAGGAGUAGCCACCAGCGUGCCAUCGCCACUAGAGAUGCCACCAUUGCUGCACUAAAGGACGAACUUGACCAGCAGCAACUCUCUCACCAGGAGCAGCUGGACACCUGGAGCCAUAAAUACGAGAACUUGCUGAGUGAGCUGGCCGAGGCCAAGUGCCAGUCAGUGUGUCAGAGCGAAAGGCUUCGGAUUAUUGAAACGACUAUGGAAGAAACUAGUGAGCAACUUGCGGCGUCGGCGGCCGGGCAUGCUGGGCUGGAGGAGAGGCUCCAGCAGGCCACGGCCACCUGUGAGGCCCUCGAGGCGCAAGUAGAAACGCUCGCUAUCAACAACAACCAGUUAACUUUGACAAUAGAACAAUUUGAAAAGGAAAAGGAACGAACUACCAAAACUAUAGCUAUGUUAGAGUUCAAUAAUGAACAUAAUAAAAAUAAGGUCUUAAACAUGGAACUGUCCAAUAAGGAUCUCCAGGAGAAGAUAGAAGCGUUAUGGAAAGAGAAAGCAGAACUUAUGCAGCAGCUGAGAGAAGGAUCUGCAGGCAUCUACAAGCAGUUAAUAAAAGAGAAGGAGGAACUGGAGCAGAGGUUAGCUAGAGAAAAAGAUGAAUUACAGGAGAAGCACAAGUGUGAGGAGACGGUUCUCCAAGAGCAGCUGGAGGGCCUGACAGAAAUAAGAUUAGGAUAUGAGAAGCAGAUAAGCCAAAUAGAAGAAAACAAUGCCGCAAUGCACAGUAAAAUUGGUAGUAUUCAACUGGAGCGAGAUGCUGCUAGAUCUGAGGCUGCCCAGCUCAUGACUCUCAAACUUGAUCUGGAGAAGAAACUUGAUGAUCUCAAUAAAAUCAAAGAAAACUCUGAACAACAAGUUGCUGCACUCAGAGGGACCAUUUCUAACUUGGAGGAAAAAUUAGAUGCUGAAGAAAAUCUGGUCCAGACACACAAGGAGACAAUCCAUACACUUCAGAACAACAUACUGAACCUUCAGAAACAUGUCGAGGGACUCAAGGAAACCAGUACCAAGCUUGCUUUUGACCUGGAAGGUGAGAGCAAACUACGAAUAGAAACACAGCUUCAGCUAAAUCAGGUGAAGCAAAUGCACCGGCAGCUUGACGAGACUCACAAUGCCGACAAGGCGAAAAUAAGCAAAUUGGAGAGUGAAAAUGAAGAACUGUUAAUGGAAAGAACAAAAGUGUUUGAGCUUGAGGCUCAUAUUGCCCAGCUUGAGUCUCAUAAUAAUAUGCUCAAAGACAAGUUGGCCACUCAACCAGACACACUUGACUCCCCUAAUGACAAUAAAACAAAUGCAGUGGAAGAACAAUCGGACGAGAAAGCACAACCGAACAUUAAUGAACAACGAAACACAGAAGGAAAAGAAUUGAUGAGAUUAAAAGCUCUGCUGAAGGUUAAAGAGGAAGAUAUCUGCAGAAUUCGACAGAGCCUUAAAGAUGUUCAAGAACGAUUAAGAUUAGCUGAAGUAAUAAGUGGAGAAGUUGAAGAACAGCGAGAGAAGGUGCAAGAGUUAGAGGCCAAGUUAGCCUCUGCAGAAGAGCAACACCGUCAGCAGUUCAUGACCAUGGCUCUGGAGGCUGAGAGACGCGUUGCUGCCAAAGAACAAGAAUGUCACCAGACUAUUUCAUCGGCUUAUGAUCAGCAGGACAACGAAACAAGUGCUUUGGUACGGCAGCAUCGUGAUAUCCUGCGUGAAGCUCAAGAAGAUGCGCGGGACAAAGCUGCUGCCCUUAAUACAGUUGUGCAAGACCACCAGAGCAAGCUCAAGGAAAAGGAUGAGGAACUAUGCAAGUUUGUCCAACAGUACGAGGAACAACUGGCCUCUCUCACUGCCCAGCACGAAAGCCACAUCAAGGAAAUUGAGGCCACCUGGAAAUCCCGAGCUGAGAAAAUGGUACGACAGCGGGAGUUACAAUUACUGGAGGAGAAGGAUUCACUCACGCAGGAGUGGAACAAGGAGCGCAGGAGUCCUGCGAGUGAGACAGCCGAGAACCCUGAGGAACUAGAACGGCUAACUCAAGUAGCUGCCGCAGCUUUCCGAAGUGGCACCGAAUCGGUGGAACUUCUAAAGAAACAAGUAGCAGCUCAACGAAGGGAGCUGGAGGAGGUUAAGAUAAACCAUGGGAAGGAGAUCGGGGAACUGAAAGCACUGCUGGAACUUAAACGGAGAUCCAGAGGCGGUGGUGGUGGCGGCAGCAGUAUGAGGUUGGGAGUGUCAUUAGAAGAAGCUGCAGAGUUUGAAUAUCUGAAAAACAUUCUGUACCAGUAUAUGUUAGGCAAAGAAACACAAACAUUAAGCAAAGUGCUGUGUGCUGUAGUGAAGUUUGACAGUCAGCAACAACAAGAAAUCCUGGAGCACGAAGAACAACGUCAGAACGUGGAGCAGCUGGAGACAGAGCAUCCCACUCUCCAUCCCACACUUUUAGAGGAAGAAAGAUCAGACCCAUCCAAGACCCUGUGAUGACUGAGGCCCGCAGGCGCGCACACAAGCCAUUUAUCACAGUCUUGGGUCUGGUUUGAUCUGAUCAGUGCUUCAGAGCUGGUCACAAGGUCUAGGUCUCUACUGAACAUCGUAGUGGAUACGCAGAGUCGUCUAAUUGAAGAAAAGAUGGACAAAAACAUGAUCACAGAGGUAAUUGACUUGUGGUGAAAGCCGGCCUUUGUUGUCUCGUAAUGGUAAUUACCUAGGUAAUUAUGUUGCCAUGGUCAAUCAAUAAUGUAUUUAAUGUUGUAAGUUUUAUAGUUCUUGCAGAGAGCAUGUUGAAAAGCUCACGUAGUUAAUACCUAAGAACAUGGUGUUACCGUACAUGUUAAUUAUACAUCAUAUUUUCAUGUUAAAUAAAGAUGUGUGUGUUGAUAACUUAACACACGAACUCUAAACUGAGACUUAACAACUAAACUGAAAGCUAUCCAUUGUUAUUAUACCAGCUGUAUAAACCAUUAUUUUAGUACUUUGAAAUAGUCUUUACAGGACUUUGAGGUUUUGUACUGCUGUUAUUUGUUUACAUUUAGUAACUUAUUGGUACAACUCUCACAAUAUUGAUGAAUUACAUGUCAAUUAAAUCACCUACUGUGAAUAAUUAUGAUUUAGUGUAAUAUACUGGACUAAAGUUUGGUGUAUAUAUAUGUCAACUCUGGUACUGAACUUACUCUCAACAUGAUAACUGAGUUUUGGAACUGUACUUAAGGAAAACAUACCGUCAUCUUUACCGUCUUUGGAGAAAAAAGAAAGAAUUUGUAGGUGAGUUCUUAGUAUGUUAAAUAACUGAAGCAUGUAUUAGCAUAUUGGCUGUGUUCAAUUUUGUAUAAAGUCUAGUCGCCUUGAUAAAGUCAUGAAUCAUUGAUAUUCAUCAUCACUUCCUAAUGAUUGUAUGAUUUAGCACUUUUCUAUUUUGAGAAAAAGAGUAUAAAUACUGACAAAUUAUUUACAUUCAUUUUAUUCUUCAGUUUUUAAUAAAUUUUCCCAGAGUAUAUUUUUUAAGGUGUCAGAAUCAAUGCAGAUAUAAAUGCUUGUGAGCUGUGGUUGUCAUUAUUGGUUUCCUCGUAGCUCAUUAUUUGCUAAAUAUAUGGUUGUCAAUUACGGCAUCCAAACUAUCUCGUAUUUGCCUUCAUGAGUCGUACAGUCAAAAGUGUGUUUCUCAGCCAAGACACACAUUGCGACUAAGGUGAGAUGAGCAGGUUGUACAGAGUGCAAUGGUUGUCCUAGUGUGUGAUGAACAGAUAACUGAACUGUGUCUGCCAAGCAGUUGUAAUCACCCUGACAGGGGUUUAGACUCAACAGUAGAUGAUGAAGCUAAUGCGAGGAAGCCUCACCUCCAAUUAGUUGUUUAUGUGACUUAUGUCCUAAGUGGCAUACCUUUCCAUAAAUGUAUUCCAUUUAUCCUUAUUUUUGCAACUGCUUUGACUAAAUAUACUGCAGCUGCUCCCUAGAUAUCAAAGAUCUAGUCAUUCAGACCAUCCAUGACCUGUUAAGUCAGGUAUAAGAGCUAUUUGGACCUGGUAAUGCAGGUAUCAGCAGCUGGCAGGGUAGGUAUUGGGACUUAAUGUAAAUACUGUGAUUCUGGAAGCUCCAAUAGUUGAGCAUAGGUAUACAGAUUUAAAUGUGUAGUUCAUCUUUGUCACUCCCCAGGAGCUCAACAAUUAAAAUGUUUGUAAUUAUGAACAAAACACUAUGAUUUUUAUUGGUUCCAGAUAGGAAAAUUGUUAAUCCAGAAAUUAUUAAAAGAAUUAUAGCUUUUAAAUUUAAAGUGAGCAGGAAGAAUCACUCUUAGACAUGGGAUGGUAAACACUGUUGCAAGUUCUUGUGAGGAGGGAACUCCAAGGAGGUUUUUGAUGAGUGAUCUCACCAGACUUUUGUAACGUAUUGACUGCCAGUUUGCACAUGUUUAGGAUUUAAAGUACAGUAUUGGUAUAUUUGCCCCCCAAAAAGCCAUUCUUAGUGAGGAGUACGGCCUCUCCCUCUCCUCUCCUCCUCUCUCAGCAGGAAAGGUUGUUACAACCUUAUAAACAAGAAAACGAACUAAUUAUACAUGACAAUGUCUUUCUCUUCAAAUAAAUUCAUUAUAUAUAUUAUUUAUACCUCUGCAUAGUCAUUGUUAUUGAAAUAAAUAUUAUAAUUUAAUUGUUGUAAAUUAUAUUUUAUUUAUUUGGCUGUUGUUGGGAGUACUGCAGCUUUUGUUAAUAUUCUACAUAUUUUUGUGUAUCUUGUGGCUCUCUGAGGUUUGGUUCAACCAGAGUGGAUGUGCAGUAAAUUUCUUGUUGAGUCACAACCACUGUGGAUUUACCCGGACCUGAAUCACUUUUUCCAUAAAGAAUUUUCACCAGAUAAUUAAAAUGUCAGAUUUUUUUGCUCGAUUGUAAAUGAUGCAUUGAUUCUUAAGGGAUUCAUUUGUCUUACACGUGAGUUCUCGGCAAUGUUGCUUCCUUCAGCUUUUUUUCUUGUUUUUUAAGUUAGGUAUCAGUGAUAGUACUUGGAGGCAGUUUAUUAUUUAUUUAUACUCAUCCUUAGUAAAAGUAAAUAACUCUUAAAAUACAUUCACUGCCUGAUCUUUGUUUUAUGAUGACUAUCAUCACUGAAUUUACCACAGACACUCUGCUAAGUGCAAGUGUGACGUUAGACUCGGUACUGUAUAUAGUCGUGAUAUCCGAGUUGAAGUUUUUUUUACUUCAGAUUUUAUUUAGCAUUAAAAGGUAAAUAUAACACAAGUUAAUUUUAGGCAUGACUUGCUAUCACAUGUGUACAAAGUUUUCAACAAUAAUUUGCCCUGUAUUGUAGAGUAAUAGAAGAUACACAUCAGCCUUACCAGUCAACCUUAGGAAACCUAGCAUUUGUGAACACUAUUUAGAGAAAUUCCUUAGUAGCAACCCCCCCCUCUCUCCCUGUCUUUGUUUUCUAAGACUCCCUCUUUUUGGUUACAGUGCUGGAACAUAAGAGUGAAUUUGUUAUUUUAAGGGUUAUUUGAAGUUACUCAAGAUCAUUGAUUUGUUACUGAAGAUUCCCCUGUGUGUCUGUGUAUGCUGUAUUUUAAAACAAAUAUAGAGAAAGGUUGAA
rnacentral:misc_RNA from 1 species